rnacentral:rRNA from 1 species
UUGGGUGUAAAGGGUGCGUAGGCGGGAAAAUAAGUCAGUAUGUGAAAUCCCUCGGCUCAACUGAGGAACUGCAACUGAAACUAUUUUUCUUGAGUGUUGAAGGGGAAAGUGGAAUUCCUAGUGUAGCGGUGAAAUGCGUAGAGAUUAGGAGGAACACCAGUGGCGAAGGCGACUUUCUGGGCAACAACUGACGCUGAGGCACGAAAGUGUGGGGAGCAAACAGGAUUAGAUACCCUGGUAGUCCACACCGUAAACGAUGGAUACUAGGAGUUGGCAAAAAUAUUGUCGGUUCCGCAGUUAACGCAUUAAGUAUCCCACCUGGGGAGUACGACCGCAAGGUUAAAACUCAAAGGAAUUGACGGGGGCCCGCACAAGCAGUGGAGUAUGUGGUUUAAUUCGAAGCAACGCGAAGAACCUUACCAGGGCUUGACAUAUACAGGAAUAUAUAAGAGAUUAUAUAGCUCUACGGAGUCUGUAUACAGGUGGUGCAUGGUUGUCGUCAGCUCGUGUCGUGAG